UUUCACUCACCAUCCCUAACAUCCUCAACGUCACUGUAGAACUGCUUGUUCCAAUUCCACAUGCUGCCUAUUUCCCCUUUUUAAUUAGGUUUUCAUUUCGGAACAAAAAAUGCUUAACUGAGACGUGUUUGGUUUCUUACUUCUCUAUUAAGUGUUUGUUUUUGUUGUGUUUGUGAUUUUCAGACAAUGAGAUGGAAUAAGCGAUGAAGAGGCAAUGUAAAAUUAAUUUGUAUGGAACUGCUUUUCCACUGAAGGAGGAGCUUGACAAGCAAAUAUUGUCUAGGUACCUGCUUUUGGAUUCGAUUAAUCUAUUGCAUAUUUUGGUAUAGUUUCUUAGAGUGUUUCGAAAUUUAAAGCGUUUCAGUAGUGAUAAUUUGACAUGAGUCCCUGUUUGUGUCGAUGGUUGCUGGUUAAUCCAUUCCUUGAUUUUCAGGCACAAAUCAUAUGCAUCUCUAUAUACGGGGCAUGGUGUAAGACCCGAGUUUUUAUUUGGUGUAUUUUGUUGAGAUGCAUGCUAUAUUUUUGUAAGAGUCGACUAUGGAUAGUUUGCUAAAUGAUAUAGACUCCAUAUACUUCUUGUUGGUCUAUGGUUUGUGACCGAUGAGCUUGAUUGCAAAUAUAUGUUAAGACUACAUGUUUCCUCUAAUUGCUAUAUGUAGUUGAUGGUGUGAGACUAAAUUUUUCCUUGGGAGGGCUGGAUGUGUAUAAAACACAAACAUUUUCUUUAAGUAAAGGAGAGAGAAAACAACAAGGAAGAAAGGAGUGAACGUGAGAGUUUUGGUGUGCAUUUGAGAGGCUGAGAAUCCAAGAGAAACAUGAGGCUUAAACCAACAAAGAAGGGACUGGGAAACUUAAGAGAAUCAGAGAACUUUGGCAGGAGAAAUUGGUAAGGGGAGCUGGCAGAAUCUUGUAUCCUGUGAUUUUUGGCAUGAUGAUUAUGAAUGAGUAUACAUAUUUGUGGUUGGAUGCGUUUCUGAUAUUGUUAUUACUAUCAUUAUGGACUUCUUUGAUGCAUUUUUUUUGCUAUACGUAUGAGUUGUAGAUGAUUUACAUGGUAAGCAUGUGUUGAUAUGUGUUUAAUAUGUGGAUGAUGGUUUGCAUGUAAAAGUUUAUUGUUGUAGUAAGACUUUAAUAAAAAUGGAAAUAGUACUCUAAGACAGCCAGAUGAGUUUGGCAAAGUAAAACUUUGGUAGAGGUCGCUGAAUUUGGUUGAAAGAUGAACUAAGUUGGAAGUAGUUUGUAGUGGUGCAAAUUCUGGAAAAUGUUUACAGAUGUUGGAGAGUUUUUCGGAAUGGUGCAAUAUAUCUUAUGAUGUAGUAACCUUUAGAUGGUUGUUCCAUUGCUUAAAAUUCCUAGAGAACUUUAUCUCAAAGGUUAGCAGAAAAAUUAAAAUGGAGAGGCAGAGUUAAUUGGCUGAACUUUUUAUGAGAAUUCAGCUUUCCGUUUGCUUGACUAGGUUCACUAUUUUGACUUAGUUAGAGUCCAGCUUGUUUUAAAUAAUUUGGGACAGUAGCUAGCACUAAAAUAGGAAGUGAUGAAGUUGGUUUUUCCUUACUGGAAUAAAGUUUACGUUGGGAGAAAUUCCUUGGUUGGAUGCAACGUUCCAGACUUUAUAGUUCGUGUAAAAGACGCAUGUUUUCCCUUGAUGUAGUGCUACUUUGAAGGUUAAUGUGAACUGCAAUUGGCUAGACCAGUGAGCUGGAAUUACUGCAGCGUUUUCCUCCUGGAUGGGACUUGAAUGAUGCUGGAACGUGACCAGAGCUGGUGUAGUUGCUACAUGAAUCAAAUGAAGCUAGUUUGGUUUGGUUUUGUUCAAUUGGUGCAAUGUUUCCUUUGCUGGACAGAAGUUUCUAGUGUUGCCACUCUUUCUUACGUCUAAAUAGAAAUAGGGUCAGUUUGGAUAAAAAAACAUAUAUAUGGCAGCAAGGAGGUCAAGUAAGCCGUUGUUUGGUGCCUUGUUUUUGGUGGAAUCAUUCUUUAUUUAGAUGAUGAAAUUAGAGAAAAUGUAAAUUAUGUUUUAGUGGGGUCAAGUGUUAGACUUUUGAAAGGUUUUCUUUAAAACAAAGCUUGCUAGACUUGAUUCAUGAGCCCAAACAGAAGCAACUUUUGGAGACCAUGCAGUGCAGCCUUUUUUGUUUGCUGCAGGAUAACCGUGAGCUGAAGGAGGGUUGGACCAUUUUUCUCACGUCAAGUUGACCAAGAGGAAGAUGUUAGAGCUACUAACAUUGAGAUACAGAGAUCAGAACAGCUACUGGAAUUUUUAGUUGGCACAAAACAACUCUCCCUUUUCUUUGAUCAAAACUAGUUUAACUACUAGACUCUUGUAGAGUUGGGGAGGUGCUUUCUAUCCAGAAUUUUCAUUGAGGCUUAAAACUAGAUUCUAAGAACUCUAGUUCUUUAGAAGAGUUAAAACAUGAUGAAGUUCAAGCUUUCUUGAACUGGACCGUUAGUUGGAAGGCACAAGGGUCUCUAGAAGGAACUGAACUUCGAGUAGGUGUUGUCUUUAGCUUAAGUGCUGCAGUAUUUUUGUUUCUUGAUUAUUUGAGAGCUGGAACAUGACUUUUAGGUGGUCUAUGGUGCAAAGAACCAAGUACCUUGAUCACAUGAGUUGAGCUAGUGGUGGAAUUUUCCUUUGUUGGCUGGUGCAGCUAUACUAGGAGGAAGUUCAUGCUGGUUUUCCAUGGUUGGUUCACGUUCUUGUCUUUCCUUUCUCUGGUUUUGUGGUGCAGCAUCAGAUUUGAGUUAUUUAAGCUAUGGUAAGACCUGUUUGGAGAAGAUUUUGAUCAUUAGAAAUAUGUGUCAUGGUAUAAGCAAAUUCACGUUAGUUUGGGUAGAUAGUGCAAUAGAAUUUUUUUGCAAUGUUUAAGUCAUAGAUAGAAUUGGCUAUAUUAUUCUAUUUGUUCACGUGAAAGUGGCAGAUUGUUGAUGCACUUUUUAUAUUUUCUUCCUAUAAAAUAAUAUGGCUGAAUGGUAAAUUCCUAUAGUCACUUUUUAUAUUUCAAUGGCCAUGACUAUACUUGUUUUAUGGUUCAUUAGAACAAAAUCUUAUACUUGUAGUCAUGGAGAUAAUUGUAAUCUUAUAUUUAAAUAUUCGAUACCGUUGACAUCUGCAAUGGUGGGAAAAAUGUUUUACAUGAUUUUAUAUAGCACCGAAAUGAAAUAGAUAUAUAGCUUAGUUUAUGAACGAAACACAACUUUUUUAAAAUAGAAAAACAUAUUUGACUCGUUUAAGAUUUGACGAGCAUUAUAAUUGAAAUGCUAUAGUUGAAGAUAAAUGCAUGGCAUGUAUGAACUAGGCUUAAUAUUUUUGAGCGACGUUAUUUCUAAUGAUUUGAGGCCUUUGAUUAUGAGUUUGGUAUCCAUGAUAAUAAGAAAUGCAAUCUUAACUGUUGCUGUUUUUUAUUAAUUGAGAUACGACGUGUUAUUGUUUUACUUCUGUCUCUCAAUAUCAUUGAUGUUAUUUGCAUAUCCCCAUGACUUGGAAACUUUUAGGCCUUCCGACAUGCAUCAUGGGAUGGAAGUUCGCCUUGGUCUAUCUUAGGGACCAAUGUACCCAAGUAUUAUAUAAUUAAAUUUUGAGUUUUACACUGGUACCCAAAAGUUGGCUUUUAUGGUAAAAUCAUCUUGUUAUUCUUUAAGAUGGAAGUGUCCAAGGAACCUACAUAUGCAAUCGUGGACUUAUGUUUUCCUUUGGGUUGGAUGCUAGAAAUGUUAUGGACUAUAUUAAACACAACAUGCCUUUUAGAGUAAAUGCAGAAUUUAUGCAUGAGGCGUUUGAGUUGAGUAUCCUUCUUUAAUUCUAAGUGUUAGUAACUUCUAGAAACUUGACUACAAUUUAGUAUUAUAUAUGUAGGUUAACGUAAUAUUUGGAUUGAAUAUAUAGUUUUAGGUUUAAUUGCUUCUUUUGUUCCGAGUUUGGUUGAAGUGUGUCAAAUUCGUCCCCCUUUUAGAAAAAUGUCAAUUUCGUCCUCAUAUAGAAAAAAUUUGUGUCAAUCAAGUCAUCUUCGUUAAAAAUCAUUGCUUUCAAAACUCACUUUAUCCACUACAAAAUCAGGGAUCAGACCCAUGAAGUGGUUAUUAUUCAAAACUCACUUUAAGUUUUUAACACCAUUAGUUUGUUUUUAACGGAGAUGACUUGAUUGACACAAAUUUUUUCUAUAUGAGGACGAAAUUGACAUUUUUCUAAAAAGGGGACGGAUUUGACACACUUCAACCAAACUGGGGACAAAAUAAGCAAUUAAACCUAUAGUUUUAUGUACAAAUAAUUUCUUAAAUAUUAUUGGACAAUUUAAUGUAUGAAAUGAUUUCCAUUUUAUUUGUUCAAUUGAAUUUGUUGAUUUCCAGGUUAAUUGAUUGGAUGAGAUCAUAAAACAGGAAAUAUCAUUUUAUAGAAAAAGACAACUUUUCUAUGACAUACAUGACAUUGCCUACCAUAGUAUGUAAAAUGUAAGCACGUAUAAAUCUUAUAAAAAAAAAACAAGUUAUAUGGCGUACAUGACAAUGAAUGUCAUAAUAGGUUAAUUGUGAAUAACACGUAUUAUGAACGAAUACCUUACCUAUCAUAAUACAUAGGAGAUAUUAUGAUAGGUGAAAAUAACUGUCAUAGAACUUGAGAUAUUAUGACAGGUAAACCGAAUUAUGUCAUGGUAAAUUAGAUAUAUUAUGAAUGAUAACUAAAAGUAUGUCUUAAUAAACGAGAUAUAUUAUGACAGGUGAUGGGAAGUACAUUAUAAUAUGUUUAACCUAUUAUGACGUACUUUUUCACUAUGCCAUAGAAUGAGUAAACCUUUUAUGAUUGUCAAAACUAUGAUAACAGAACACCUGUCAUAAUAUGUUUAUUUUACUUGUCAUAAUAUGUCUUUUUUGCAUUAGUUAUUUACUUAUUAUGACAUCCUUUUUUUGUCGGUUGCUCUUUAUUCUUUUUGUUUAUCAGAAUCACACUUUUCUACCUCACCUACAUGCAUUGUCAAAUUAUCUAGGAGGAUCUUGAUUCAACUCAUGUUGAAUAUAUCCUUCUCCCUAGUCAGUAGUCACUACUUAAAUAGUGUGUAAAUUGCAAUGUGUAAAUUUCCCCUUAUUGAACAAUGUGAACCUUGUUAACUCUAAACUACAAAGUAAAUUAAUUUGAACCUGUAAACGUUUGAAAUGUAUUAGAAGUUGCCUCUGUUAGCUCUAAUCCCAUAGGUGAUGGAUAAGAGCCUUCGAAAGUUAAUUGGACUGAAAAAAUUACCAAUUGUAUAAAAGUUCCCUAAAGCUUAUUAUUUCCUUUUAUCUUUAAAGGUGCAAUAGCUAAUUUAUAUGGUCAUUUUGUGUCUCUCUUCCUUCAAAAUUUUGCUUUUUAGUUAAUUUUUUUCUUAUCCUUCAUCUUGAUACCCUUUAUUUGCCUUUCACUCCUAUCUUUCUUAUAAUGUAUACAAUAAAGGAGUAUAAAAAUAUAUUUUGAUUAGUAAGAUAAAAUAGAAUAUGAUAAUAUGAAGGGUUUUUUAGGAGAUUCACUCGAUAAAUGCAAUACCAAUGAAACACAAAUUCAAUCUGCAUAAGGAAUUGAUACCACCUUAACCUAAAAUGUUAACACAAUGGGUUUUCCUUCCUUAGAAGUUUAUGGAAAUCUCUUUAGCUAGGUUGGGGGAAAUUAGAAGGAAAGCCAUGGUGAUGGUUGAAGGUUGGGGUGGUUGCGGAAAUAUGGUGGAAAAGAGACUAAGGCUCUUGGUCAUGUGAUGUUUAUGGAAGAUAGAGGUGGUGUUUAGUGAUGGUCUAAGAGAGGUUGGGCAAACUCUUGGAGGAAGGAGGCUAGAGGAGGUCACUUGGGUUGCUCUAGCCUAGGGUGACCUUAAUAGAGUAGUAUGACACAAAAAUGACAGCAUAACUUUACUCUUAAUCAAAGGUGAUUACAAGAGAGGAGACACUUCUAUAUAUAGGCAAGGGUGUCAUCUAAAAAUCCUAAAAGCAUGACCCCUCACUUUUGUACUCAUUGGCCAAAAAUGAGGCCUUCUAAGGAGUGGACAAGUGUCCACAAAUCCCCUCCAAUAAGGGGAGGACAUGUGGGCACUUAUAAAGCACAAUCCUCCCUAUUCCUAGAGUUCCAUGUGAUCACUACUAAAGUUAAAUCCUCUCCAAUGGAAACAUUACACAUGGCGCAUACUUUCCACAUGGUUUGAAUGUCUAGCUUAAGGAAAAUUUUUAUACUGAUUAGGCCUUAAAUACAAGCCUUAAACAAACCUACACUACUUGGCCAAAAUACAUGACCUAAAUAAAACUUAUACUACUCCAAGCUAUGCUCCAUGAUGGCCCCAAAGGUGGUCCAAAAGGUAGAGUUUAGACCAUCUUCAAGGAUGACUUCCACUCUUCUUGAAAGUGCUUGACCAUGGCUAAGAGAUUUGUCAUCACAAGUUGUCCAACUUUCUUAUCAUUAAUUAAUGUAAGAUUUAAACUUACUUGAACUUUCAACAAUCCUCCCUUAAAUAGUGAGUUCUUUUCACAUAGGUACACUCCACCUUGAUUGGAAGUCUUCCACAUUCCCAACUAGAGUACCUGAAUGGUGAACUUUUUAUAUUCCCAUUUUAUUAUAGCAAUAGGACACUUUUGUUUCAAAGGCUUAUCACGGAGGGACUUUCAAUUCAAGAAAUUCACAAAUUCAAGAUUUUUCAUUGAGUCAACCCAUGAGACUCGAAAUAAUGUGUUUGAGUUUACUUCUUUAUAAGUUAUUCAACUUUUUCAUUUUUACCCAAUAUGAGAGUUAGAUUCACAUCUAGAUUUUCAACAUAAAUUAAAUAUAGUAUUUUAAAAGUGGACAAGAUAGAAUGGUGUUAAGAAUAAUCCAAGUGAGUCUCAUAUUAGAUAGAAAUGACUAAGUUAAACAUCAUAUAAGAAGAAUACUUAUAAGUUCAUUGACUCAAAAUUUUGGGUUAAAAAUGAUGUCAAUAACUUAUGUGGAUUGGUAUUCAAAUGACAUAUAUCUAAUCUCCUCCAAAUGACCCUUAAAUAAGAAAAAAACAAACCUCAAAUAGUUACAAUUUAUUUGUACCACAUACUUCAUAAUGGUAGAUGCAAAUAUCUUCACUGUGGUUUCCACCGUAGUGUUCUGUAACUUUGUCCUCCAUGCCGUUCAUAUACAAAGUCCAGCUGAGGGAAGGUGUGAUAAAGUAUGUCUUCAACACAUUUCCAGUACCAUUUCCUCCAUGGCUUAUGGAAUAAGAGAGGAAAAACAAUAAUUCCAACCCCAGAAGUGAAUCCUACCUCAAAUGAUAUAAAAUUCCAAUGAAAGGAAAUUUUCACGCCAGCAUUGGAAUUUGAUACUUGAGAUGGUGUCACUUGCAUUCCAUCACCAACACUACAAUUUUCAGACAAUGGAGGUCCACACAGCCCAUCAUUGUCACUGAAUGAGUCUGCUGGAAAUGACUGAAUUUGGGUACCUGUUGGGAUUCUCCCCAUGAGAUGAUUGCAUGAUAGGUUCAAGAAUGAGAGAAAAGAUAAAUGUGCUAAUUGUGUUGGGAUUGACCCGCUCAAGUUGUUGUUUGACAGGUCUAAGGAUUCAAGAUCUUUCAUGUUUCCAAAAGAUGAAGGAAUUGAGCCAGAAAAGGUGUUGUGUGAUAGAUUAAGUAUGUGGACAGCGUUUAGUUGUCCAAGUCCUCCUGGGAUUAGUCCCUCAAAUUUGUUGCAUGACAAGUCAAUGACGGUGAAGAUGAUUAGGAUCUUUGCUAAAUACAUUCGUUGCCCUUUGCUUGUAACUGUAACUCUGUCAUUAUAAAAAACACUAUAAAUUUCUAGUACUUCAGAUUGAAGAUGACCUAGCUUUCUCUGAUCACUCUCAUCAGCUAUCAUUGCUUUCCAACUUCCAAAGAAUGCCAAUGGAAUUCUACCACCUAAGUUGUUUGAUGCAAGGUCAAAAAUUUGAAGCUGUGGCCAUGCUACCUCGGUUCUUUCACAUUUGAGGGAGCCAUUUAUUUUGUUGGAUCUCAAAAUAAGAACACGUAGGGUGGUCAUGUUCUCGAACCAACAAGGGAACUCAUCAUGUAUCUGGUUGUCUCCAAUGUCUAAAAUCUCCAUCAUGGCGCAAUUAGCCAGAUAUUUUGGAAGCUUUCCAUGCAGAGAAUUACCAUUUAGGUGUAGUGUUCUUAGCGAACACAAGCCAGGACAUGUGUCAAUAGUGCCACUGAGUUUGUUCCUCCCUAAAUCAAGUAUGCUAAUAGUUCCAUUCAUAGCAAUCAAGCAUUUUGGAAUUGUGCCAGUCAGAGAAUUAUUGGAGAGGUCAAGCACACGAAGAUUAGGAGCAUCGCAUAUUGAUUCUGGGAUGCUCCCUUGGAUAUUAUUGUUUGCAAUAGAGAGAAACCUAGCUUUUCUGAGGUAUUUGUCAAUUUUAGGUGGCAAAAAAGAGCUGAAAUUGUUGAAAAAUCUACAUAGUCAAACGAUUGGGGUAGUGUUGGAAGAGGUCCGUGGAGAAGAUUGGAAUGAAAAUCAAGGAUGGACAAAAGAGACAAAUUGUUGAACAUAGGUUCCUCCCAGUCAGUCAGGUAGUUAUACGAAAGAUCAAUAUUUUCUAGAGCAUUGUUGUUCCAAAGCCAGUGUGGUAUAGUGCCAGCAAUAUGGUUAUUUGACAGGUCAAUAGAUCUUAGUGAAUGAUUUUUCAAAAAUUGUGGAAAUUUUGUCAACUUGCAAGAAGCUAAGCCUAUGACUUUCAAACUAGGAAAUAAUGGAGACCGAGUGAGUGGAGUGGAUAUAUCAUUUAUUGUUAAGGUGUUGUUUGAAAUAUCAAGUGUGGUAAGGUUUUCCAGCUUGCCAAGCAAAUUGACCUCUAUGGUGCCACUGAAAUUAUUGGAAGACAAUGAAAGAGAUUCAAGAUUCGUUAGUUCAAACAAAGAUAUGGGAAAGGACCCUUCUAAAAGAUUGCCACUCAAAUCAAGCGAUUGUAAACUAUACGAGGUGUUUGUGAAAUCGAGUUGACCUUCAAAUUUAUUGUUGGAAAGAUGAAGAUAAUGCAAUGAUGGUAGUGUGAAGAUAGAUGAUGGAAUGGUUCCAGUGAAGAAAUUACUGUCUAAGUUUAGGUACUCUAAAUUUACGAGAUCUUGAAAGUUAACAAGCGAUAUUGUACCUGUGAAAGUGUUAUCAGUGAGGUAUAUGCUUUGGAGUUGUUUGCACAAAUGUAAAGCUGGAACUGAGCCAGAAAGGCGAUUCCCUGACAGAUCUAGAUCAACAAGUUGGGUGAGAUUUUGUAAUGAAUUGGGCAGUGUUCCACUAAAUUGGGAUGAAGAAAGAUCCAGAUUAGACAAGUUUCUUAAAUUUCCAAUUGAAUUUGGAAGUGGACCAGAGAAAUUUGUGUCACUUACGAACAUGGUGUGGAGAGAUCCAUUUGGCAGGAAGUGAUGAAAGAAACCAGAAAGAUCAUAAUUAUCUGAUAUAUCAAUAUAGGACAAUGUUGGUAUUUGAAAGAUCUUUUCUGGAAAAAUUCCAAUCAACUCGCAAUCAGUAAGCUUCAAGGAGGUAAGACUUUUGAAAUGGGCAAAUGUUUCUGGAACAGGACAUGCCAAGUUGUUAUAACUAAGAUCAAGGACUGAUAGAUUCUCAAGUCUUGCAAGGGAAGGAAGAAGUGGCCCUGAGAGAUAACAGCUAAGCAUGCUCAAUUCUUCAAGAGUUGGAAUUUGCAACAAAGCAGUCUGCCAUUCUUGUGCUCCACCUGAUACACUCACACCAUCUAGAUAAAGUUGUCUAAGUUUUGUGAGGUUUCUGACAAGUUCAAGGAGACUUGGGUUCUCAAGUUUCACUUCUUGUGCCUGUGAUGAAAGAUCAAGAGUGACCAAUUUUGUGAGUUGAGAAAUCUGUAUUGGAACUUGCCCCACAAAGCCAGCAUAUGCCAAGCUCAGAGUAGUUAAAUUCUCUAACUUGUUGAAUGCAGAUGGAAUCUCCGAGUUGAAGUUGUUGUAAGACAAAUUCAAAUUCUGGAGGUGGCGUAGACUGAAAAGGCUGCUUGAAUUGUCAAACCCACCAGCGAUUGAUUCUUCACUCAGGUCAAGACCAGUAACACGCCCCUCCUCGUCACAUGUUACACCUCUCCACUCACAACAAGCACUUCUUUGAUUCCAUGAGCUUAGUUUGUUGGAACUCUCAGGUUCAAAUGUAAGAUUGUUCUUCAAUUGCAAGAGCUGUGAUCUUUCAUCCUUAUUGCAUUGGUCAGAGACGAUGUGAACAACGAGACACGUCCAACAGUAGACAGUGAAGUAAAACCAUGAAACUAGUGAAAUUUUCAUUUGUUUCUAUGGUUGAAGAGGUUAGAAAAGCUGGUAGGGUGGGAAUGAAUGGUUAGUAGAUUCUAAAUGAGAACAAUCCCCUCAGCCAUAGAGAUUUCAAGUGAAUUAGAUGCUACCUCAGCUACAGAAUGUGUAAUUAUUAUAUAUGUUAACUAUCUUUUUAGCCGUGCAAUACACUGAACUUUUUAUAGUCAAUACCCGUCAAUACCCGGAACACUUUUGUAGUCAAUAUCCGUGUCAUACCCGAAACCUUUUAUAGUCAAUAUUCGUGUCAUACCCGAAACCUUUUAUAGUCAAUAUCCGAAUCAUACGGAAAUGUGUUGUUUCUUUAAUUCUACAAUUUUUUUAGUGGAAAGAUGUAAAAUUGUAGAAAUUUUAAUAAUUUAAAAAAUAUAUAAAUUUAAUUAAAUUUUUUAAGUUGAAAGAUAAAAUUCACUAGAAUAAAAUACUAUUAGAGAUAGAUAUUAAUUUAUAGUUUGAAAUAUUUUUAUAUUAUAUUUUCUUUAAAUAUAUCAGGUUUACAAAUAUAUAGGAGGAUAAGGUUUAAGGUCAGAAUUUUAAUAAAACCAAUGACAAGUCAGAGAGAGAAGAAAGAAAGUUUUAGAAGUUAAGUUUUAAGGGGAAGAAGGAAAAAGUGAAAAGUAAGAAGUAAGGGGAGUUUACAUUUUUUUUUUCUUUAUUUAUCCUUUUGCAUGUUUGUGUUUUGAUUCGGCAGAAGGUAGUGAAGGAUAGCGUACAGUUGUAACUUGUACCGCAGGUGUAUUUUGCUAAUUGUGGAGGAGUCGUCGCAGGUGAGGAAGAAAAAAAAACUCAUGCCAUCGGAUGAAGGUGUUCAAAACACGGUUUCUAUAUGAAAACAAUUAGUGAAUACAAAAGAAAACCAUACCCAGGGCAUCUAAACAACAUGAACUUGUGUUAAAUAAAAGAAAACUUACCUUUAGUGUUGGUCUCACAAGUCGCUACAAGUGUUGGGAGGCUUGAGAAGAGAAAGUGUGAAGAAAUAGUGAAAGGGAAAUACUCUCGCACUAUUUUCUUUAAUUCUUUAAACAACAGAUGACAUCAGAUUGUAUAAGGCUUGACAUCAUAUACAUUUUAGACAUUGAAUUCUGUGAGAGAUCUUAUGUUUCAUGAGUACGUGAAAAUGACUUUCACAUUGCAUUUUUUAAUGUUUUAAACCCAUUAGGUGUCACCCCUAACAAAAUCUAUUUUUAAAGAUCAUAUGACGUUAGUAUCCCUCCAAAUAGAUGUCUAAAGGUGAUAUGACGUUGAUCCCCUUUAGUGUCGGACGCCAAACUUUUAUUUUAUUUAUAAAAAAAGCCACCAAUAAUUUUUAACGUUAAUUUUUCUCUUGGUUGAUGUUGAAUGAGAGAUGUUAUACGUCCAUUUUGCAAUACUAUUUAUAUACAAAGUUUGAGUACUUUUUUUUUUUUUAAAAUAAACUUUGUAUAAUAUGAAUGUUACUUCAUCAAUUUUAUUUAUAUAUCAUUAGACGAUAUAUGAUGGCAACCUCCUUGGCUAGGUUGAGUCAAAGCUAGGAGAUGUGCAUGUAUGGGUGUUUCCUUGGAUGAAUGGUGUGGAAAUGUGAUGGUAAAUUGUCCAAGGAUGAUGAGAUAAGGUAUGGAUGGGGUAGAAGCUCAAAUCCUCUGGGAUAUAUGGUGGUGGUGGUGUAGUGUUUGGUGGCUUCAAGAGAGGUUGCUAUCAAUAUAGCAUGAUUGCAUUUAGCAAGACUCUCAUUAGUACAUUGACACGUUCAAUACUACACCGACUUAUGUACUAGCACGUUUACUAUGGCUUUUUCAUAAACGGGUUAUUCAUAACUCAUUUUCAUUUAACGAUGUGAUUUUCAUAAAGAUAACACUUUGUCAAGUAUCUUUUUGCUUAACGUUGCUCAUUAGUCCUCAAGACAUGUGAAGUUGCUAAACGAUCUUGACCUUUCUCUUAGCAAACUUUCUCUCUUCUUAUAGUACUAAUUAGUUGUGUUAUAGCUAAUGUUUUGUAUUAUAUCUCUUCUCAACAGUGAAGUUUCGUCCUUUAAACAAUAUAUGUUGUGAGUCUUACUUGAUCGACUCUUAUGCUCAGUGUUUUGCUAGUUUUACUUGGAUAUUCUUGUACCUGUUGUUUUGUGAUUGUAUGUUUUUAGACAUAUUAUGUGUAGACUUUUUCUAUGCUCCUAUAUUAUUUCAGCUUAUCUCUUUUGUCAUUUAACACCUAAUUUAGCUUUAGAAGUAACCUUGAUUAGGCUUAUUGCAUAAAUGCUUCUAAUCUAGAUGUUUUUCUUUGUGACAUAUUUUUUGUGCUAGGUGGGUAACUAGAUGGUUUUAGUAUUUAGAGGUUUUAUCUUUUAUAAUCAUAAGAGACUGUAAUUUAUUCUCUAUGUCUAUGCUCUUUUAUAUUUUUAGAAAUUUGAUUACCCAA
rnacentral:lncRNA from 1 species